GAUGAACGCUAGCUACAGGCUUAACACAUGCAAGUCGAGGGACCGGCGCACGGGUGAGUAACACGUAUCCAACCUGCCCUUUACUCGGGGAUAGCCUUUCGAAAGAAAGAUUAAUACCCGAUAUAAAGGAUGGGGAUGCGUUCCUUUAGGUUGUUGGUGAGGUAACGGCUCACCAAGCCUUCGAUGGCUAGGGGUUCUGAGAGGAAGGUACCCCACAUUGGAACGGAGGCACGGUCCAAACUCGUACGGGAGGCAGAAGUGAGGAGUAUUGGGCAAUGGGCGCUAGCCUGAACCAGCCAAGUGGCGUGAAGGGUGAAGGCUUAUGGGUCGUAAAUUUCUUUUGUAUAAGAAUAUGUAUUAUAUGAAUAAGGAUCGGCUAACUACGUGCCAGCAGCCGCGGUAAUAC
rnacentral:rRNA from 1 species